rnacentral:rRNA from 1 species
UGCCGGGGUGCUCUUGACCGAGUGUCCCGCGCAGCCGGCCAGUUCACCUUGAACAAAUGAGAGUGCUCAAAGCAGGCUACUCUUAAAACUAAAGCCCGAAUGUUACCUGCAUGGAAUGAUGAAAGAUGAAUUCGGUUCUAUUUUGCUGGUUCUGGGAACCUGAGUUAAUGAUAAACAGGGACUGUCGGGGGCAUCCGUACUACGACGCGAGAGGUGAAAUUCAAUGACCGUCGUAGGACGAACAACAGCGAAAGCAUUUGCCAAGAAUGUCUUCGUUGAUCAAGAACGAAAGUCAGAGGAUCGAAGGCGAUCAGAUACCGCCCUAGUUCUGACCCUAAACGAUGCUAACUAGCAAUUCGCCGUCGUUAUUCCCAUGACGUGGCGAGACGCCCCCGGGAAACCUCAAGUCUUUGAGUUCCGGGGGUAGUAUGGUUGCAAAACUGAAACUUAAAGGAAUUGACGGAAGGGCACCACCAGGAGUGGAGCCUGCGGCUUAAUUUGACUCAACACGGGAAACCUCACCAGGCCCGGACACUAUAAGGAUUGACAGAAUAAGAGCUCUUUCUCGAUUUGGUGGAUGGUGGUGCAUGGCCGUUCUUAGUUGGUGGAGUGAUUUGUCUGGUUAAUUCCGGUAACGAACGAGACUCUGGCCUACUAACUAGUGGACGUUGUUUUGGUGCAUAUGGCCGCGUCCAAUAAUAUCUUCUUAGAGGGAUGAGCAGCAUGUAUAGCUGCAGGAGAUUGAGCAAUAACAGGUCUGUGAUGCCCUUAGAUGUCCUGGGCCGCACGCGCGCUACACUGAAUGGGUUAGCGGGUUUUCCUUCUCCGAGAGGAGCGGGAAAUCGCGUGAAAACCAUUCGUGAUAGGGAUUGGGGCUUGCAAUUGUUCCCCAUGAACGAGGAAUUCCCAGUAAGCGCAAGUCAUCAGCUUGCGUUGAUUAAGUCCCUGCCCUUUGUACACACCGCCCGUCGCUACUACCGAUUGAAUGAUUUAGUGAGGCCUUCGGACUGGCGGUCUUGGACUGGGCUCUCCCGGGGCCUCCGUGCCUCGGGGGACUCGCCAUCACCUGCCGGAAAGAUGUCCAAACUUGAUCAUUUAGAGGAAGUAAAAGUCGUAACAAGGUUUCCGUAGGUGAAC